CCUGUAUGUGCCACUGUGUAAUUACACUGUUUCUCCUGCUAGGAGAGGAUGUUCCUGAGAUGCUGGUCCUAGUGUUGGUCUUCAUCUUACUGUCUGCCAUGAAUACAGGAGGCUGUACCAUGAUUUGGGAAGAUACUCAGAGCAAUGGCUGGAGGCUGUGACAGCUGCAGUCCUUUCUAUGGAGCAUGCUGUGGUGGUCAUGGAACAUGCAGCUGGCAGAGGCUUUAGGGAUCCUUGUGCUAAGUUCACUUUGACUGCACUAUUUUUGGAAGGACUCAGCAGCGGUUGUUCUCUGAAGCUGUUCAUCCUGAGUGCUGCCUCUGAAGUAGGAUGGUGUCCUUGGCUGCUAGCAGGAAGUAAAACCUUCCCUCUCAAGUAGUACAAGAACCAGAACUGUGUUUGUACUUGAAAUAAUAACUUAGAAUUUCAUUUAAGUAGUCAUUUAUAUAACCUGUUCACACUGUAACCCUCUCUGUAGCCUUCCCCCUGGCCCAGGCUGGCAUUGGUGAUAGCCGAGGAUCCUUGGCUCUACUUUGCAUGGGCCAGAUGCAUAACCCUGGCUCACAUUGCUAAAGAAAUUGCCUUAUGGGGAGAGCCAGCUAUGAGAAGUCUACAGAAAGAUAAGGAAUGUGAAAUUGCAAUCAGAUGUAGGGUUGUUGAGGCAGAGAUUGAGAAGAAAAUAAAAGCCUUUUGAAAAGAUAUAAAAUCUCAGAGGAGAAGAAUGCAGCGAAGUUUUAUGCUAUUUUUGGGUCAAUAAACAAUUCCUUUUUAGUUUAAACGAGGUAUGUGCUUGCAGGGUCUCUGCAUGUGGCUAAAGGUGUUGGUUGGCCUGAAUGGAAGUGCUAACAGGAGCUGUGACUUUUGCUAAUAGUCUGGGUACCUCAAGCCCUUCUUCCCAUGAAUCACUUCCAAAAUGCUUCCAUUGGUAGGCACUCUUACUAUUAAUCUUGGAACUUGGCGCUGACUUCAAGCAAUAUUGUUACUCUUUCUCAUUUGAACACAUGAAAUUUUUAGGGAGCAAAUGGAUUAUGAGUAUAUGGAUUACUAAAAGCAAGUACUGUAUAAAGAAGAGUGAGUAUUCUUUGUUGUGUGCAAGUUUGUUUUGUUAGCUUUGGUGAGCAUUUGCUAGUGAGAAGUCUAUCACAUUAUUUCUGAAAACAUUUGCCCAGUCUGAGCUCAUGCAGGCUAACAUUUACUUGAGACUAAGAGUGCAGCCUCUGGAGCUGACACAGAGGUUUGGAAUAACUUUCUGAUUGUAUCAUUCUCAGUCUCUUCCAUUCCUUGCAGAAUGAAUAGUAGUAGUCCUUACAAAUGCUAUCAGGGCAUCUGUAAACUGAUAUGAUUGCUGUAACUCAGUCCAGAAGUUUCAAGUCAUAUCUAUCUCUGAUUUUUUUCUAAGCAUGAAAAAUUCCUAUAAGAGGAAUCCAUAAAUAUGAUAUGAAAAAUAGUUAUAUUUAUUCCAGAUCUUUACUAAUAUAGAAUUGUGUUUUAUGUGGAAAUGCUUAGAUUUCUUUGUUGAGUUCUGAGUUUAUAACAGUAGUGGUGAUGAAAAGGGGAUUUAACUUCUAAGGGAAUAUCAUAUGUGACUUAAUUAGCCCAGACAUCUAUUAAUCAAAGUGAAGCAUCAAAAUUAAAGACUUUCACAUAGCAAUCUUGCAGUCAGCUAGGUCACCAUUUCUGCAGUGAAAUGCCACCUUUGGCGAAUAAAUAUAUCAGUGUACUAUUGUGACACAGGUAUAAUGAUGUCAGCAUUUCUUUACUUGGAGGGUGUAAAAGCUAAGAGAGUUUGUGUGUACCCAUUGAGAGAAUUGGAAACAUCUAUCACUUUCACUGACAGAUUUGUUUCUGUAUGUAUCCAUUCUACUAAACUGUGUAUGUUGAAGUAUUAUAUUUUCCCAGAUGUGCAACAGAUGUUUUAAAAUAUCAACUAGAGUUUUAUAAAUUAUACAGAUCAAUUCUAAGUCAUGUUAGAAGUACUAUUACUGCAGUGCUAAAAAUGAUUUAUAUGUCCAGGAGUAAUAGAACAGUUAAUACACAGGGAAGAUUACACUGGUUAAAGGUACACGAGAGACAAUACCAAACAAAACUUUUCCUGUAGACUUUGUGUUGAGCACCUUCGAAGCCUGUAAGGGUGAAUUGGUUCUUGGUUUAGCUCUUAAUUUUCAAUUAUAUCUACUUGUCUUCUAACAAGUUGCCUCUAUUGAGUAGACAUGAAAGCUACAUCAUUAAAUUGAAAAUAUUGUGAGCCAGCUGAGUUGGUGCCUGGCACAGGAUUUAUUCCCCUUCAGAAAUAUGACUUUAUUUUGUUGUGAUUCCACCUACAAGGCAGGGUUUGUAUAGUCUAACUUGAAAAUGUACACAAAAAUACCUCAGCUAAAAGGAGUAUUAAAGCAUAACUAGUGUAAAGCAUUGAUGCAAAUCUGUUUCUAGCCUGUUUCCUCCACUCUUAUCUCAAACUGAUUCAUGCUACUGGAAUUCACUACAGAAAGAGACUGCUCUUGAGAUGAACUAAUUGCCAUAGUUUUUCUUCUUCUCUAUUUCUGUCAAAUCAACAUAUGUAAGAGUCUCACUGAAAAGCUUUCUGUUCUGUGGAAUGUUAGAUAGAGGGCAGAUGUAGUGCUGUCUUUACUACUCAAACUGUCUUUUAUUGAUUGGCUUUGGAACAAAGUGUUCCAUCAUGGUUACAGAAAAGACAGGACAGCUCAUUGAAAACGUAAGUUGUUGAGCUGCUCUCCUCAGGAGGCAGCUGUAAUAGGUCUUGUUUGCUCAACCAAGUGUUUAACUUGCACAGAAGUUAUUAUUCAGGUGGUGCAAUUUGCAUGCAAUACUUCUCCUUAGAACCUCUGCUCAUUUAAAAGUUGUGAAUAAUUAAAAUAAGUUUAGAUAGUGAACAAAGUUAGCAGGUAUAUGGUGCUCAAUACAAAUUCUGUCUGCAUCCUAGCUGUAAAAAGGAAAUAAUUUUUGGGAUACAUCCAAUCAUAAUCUAAAGCUUGUGGUAAGUUUUACCUAUAAUACUUUUACUUCAGACAGUUGUAACACAGGAAUUAAGAAUCUCUUUUUGAGAAAUAAGGUUUGUACAUACUUUUACCAGUGAAAGUGAUUGAUGAUUUAAUUGAGCAAUUUUCAGCAAAAUACCUGUCCUAUGAAACAAAAAGCAAAGUUAAUCUGACCUGUUUUGUCUGCCUUCAUUCACCAUAAUUUAAACAGUUAAAAAAAGUUAUUAAAAGUAGCUCAAAUAACAAAGAUGUGGACUGGACAGUCCCAUUCCCCCCACCCCCCCUUUAUUUCUGUCAUUCAAAUGUUAUUCAAAAUGGACAUAUCUCUGAGGAGAAAAGUUUUCCCUUAAGUGUUUGGUAAUACUACAUGCCAAGAAAUCCACCAUAUAAAAACAUAGCAUCAUGCGUAUCAGUGAAUGGCCUGUCAGACAAACUGUUCUUGGUUAUAGGACAGAUUACAUUACACAUUGUAGUUGUGUUCCCUAUGCAUCAGUUGUUUCUCAGCACUUACAGCAGCAGCAAUGGCUUCUUUGUCUUUGUGCAGGAUGAGUCCAUUUUCUAAGGCUUAACUUCAUCCCUCCCAAAAUAAGCGAUCGCUUACGAUGUGAAUGGCUACUCAUGUCAAAAGAUCUUAUUGAUAUAUGCUGGUGGCCUCAUACAACAGUGUAUGUAACCUUCUGAUAGCUUGAUUCCACACUGUACCUUUUAUGGAUAAAGCCAAAUGGAAUUUUGUAGCUUCAAUCUAUCACAUCCUUCCUCCAUUAAAAGUGCUCAAUUAAA